UACGGAGGGAGCUAGCGUUGUUCGGGAUUACUGGGCGUAAAGCGCACGUAGGCGGCUACUCAAGUCAGAGGUGAAAGCCCGGGGCUCAACCCCGGAACUGCCUUUGAAACUAGGUGGCUAGAAUCUUGGAGAGGUCAGUGGAAUUCCGAGUGUAGAGGUGAAAUUCGUAGAUAUUCGGAAGAACACCAGUGGCGAAGGCGACUGACUGGACAAGUAUUGACGCUGAGGGGCGAAAGCGGGGGGAGCAAACAGG
rnacentral:rRNA from 1 species